rnacentral:misc_RNA from 1 species
GUGAAUCAUCGAAUUUUUGAACGCAAAUUGCACUCUCCGCUGUGAGUAUGCCUGUUUGAGGGUCAGCCUAAUAAAAAUCGACAUCGUUGCUGUUCCGCGGUUACGUUCGGCGGAACUUGGGUUAUCUUAAACCUUUUGGUUUAAGCGACUUAAAAUUUCCUUUUGAUUCCAUGAACGAUUCUAAUAUUUAUUUCUUUACACGGUUAAGGUAUCGAUUUUUAUUAGACGUGUCCGUA